UCUAAAGAGGCAGAGUAGUGCGAGGAAUUUAAGCUUCCUAUAUGAGGAUUUUCCUUUAGAA
rnacentral:tRNA from 1 species